rnacentral:rRNA from 1 species
UAGGGAAUCUUCGGCAAUGGACGAAAGUCUGACCGAGCAACGCCGCGCGAGUGAAGAAGGUUUUCGGAUCGUAAAAUUCUGUUGUUAGAGAAGAACAAGGACGUUAGUAACUGAACGUCCUCUGACGGUAUCUAACCAGAAAGCCACGGCUAACUACGUGCCAGCAGCCGCGGUAAUACGUAGGUGGCAAGCGUUGUCCGGAUUUAUUGGGCGUAAAGCGAGCGCAGGCGGUUUCUUAAGUCUGAUGUGAAAGCCCCCGGCUCAACCGGGGAGGGUCAUUGGGAACUGGGAGACUUGAGUGCAGAAGAGGGGAGUGGAAUUCCAUGUGUAGCGGUGAAAUGCGUAGAUAUAUGGAGGAACACCAGUGGCGAAGGCGGCUCUCUGGUCUGUAACUGACGCUGAGGCUCGAAAGCGUGGGGAGCAAACAGG